UACGUAGGUGGCAAGCGUUGUCCGGAUUUACUGGGCGUAAAGAGCGCGCAGGCGGUCGUUCAAGUCGCGUGUGAAAGCCCCCGGCUCAACUGGGGAGGGUCACGCGAUACUGAUCGACUCGAAGACAGGAGAGGGAAGUGGAAUUCCCGGUGUAGUGGUGAAAUGCGUAGAUAUCGGGAGGAACACCAGUGGCGAAGGCGACUUCCUGGCCUGUUCUUGACGCUGAGGCGCGAAAGCUAGGGGAGCAAACGGG
rnacentral:rRNA from 1 species